ACUCUGACCAGCCAUGCCGCGUGCAGGAAGACUGCCCUAUGGGUUGUAAACUGCUUUUAUCCGGGAAUAAACCUAAUUACGUGUAAUGAGCUGAAUGUACCGGAAGAAUAAGGAUCGGCUAACUCCGUGCCAGCAGCCGCGGUAAUACGGAGGAUCCAAGCGUUAUCCGGAUUUAUUGGGUUUAAAGGGUGCGUAGGCGGCCUGUUAAGUCAGGGGUGAAAGACGGUAGCUCAACUAUCGCAGUGCCCUUGAUACUGAUGGGCUUGAAUGGACUAGAGGUAGGCGGAAUGAGACAAGUAGCGGUGAAAUGCAUAGAUAUGUCUCAGAACACCGAUUGCGAAGGCAGCUUACUAUGGUCUUAUUGACGCUGAGGCACGAAAGCGUGGGGAUCAAACAGGAUUAGAUACCCUGGUAGUCCACGCCCUAAACGAUGAACACUCGCUGUUGGCGAUACACAGUCAGCGGCUAAGCGAAAGCGUUAAGUGUUCCACCUGGGGAGUACGCCCGCAAGGGUGAAACUCAAAGGAAUUGACGGGGGCCCGCACAAGCGGAGGAGCAUGUGGUUUAAUUCGAUGAUACGCGAGGAACCUUACCCGGGCUUGAAAGUUAGUGAAUGAUCCAGAGAUGGAUCAG
rnacentral:rRNA from 1 species